rnacentral:rRNA from 1 species
AAAUUGAAGAGUUUGAUCAUGGCUCAGAUUGAACGCUGGCGGCAGGCCUAACACAUGCAAGUCGAACGGUAACAGGAAGCAGCUUGCUGCUUUGCUGACGAGUGGCGGACGGGUGAGUAAUGUCUGGGAAACUGCCUGAUGGAGGGGGAUAACUACUGGAAACGGUGGCUAAUACCGCAUAACGUAGCAAGACCAAAGAGGGGGACCUUCGGGCCUCUUG